ACGAGAGCACAAAACACACAAAUGGCCAAACACACACAAUGCUUGCUGAUUUUGCUCAUGUAUGUUUGUUUAUUCUGGUUAUUAUCAUUUGACAGUAAACCGAAGUUUGUCACUCAGUCCUCGGGAUGGGAAUUGCGAACAUGGAUCCUGACCGAAUGUCAACCAGCAGGUUUCAGUGAGAAAAUUGUGGUAAAAAGUCGCUUCCUACCGGAGAUCAGCUGAGCUUGUGCCGCCCAUAAAGCUGCUGUCGACUUCCCUGAGACACUGCCCGUCAACACGCCCGGCCGUGGACACACACCUCCGACUAUCAGAGAGGCGGAGCCGGCAAACGAGCAGCGGGGCAGGGCACCCUGGAGCCCUGCCCAAGAUGGCGGCAAGGAGUCGGAGAAUGCGGCUAAGUGGAGAGGCGGGGUGUGCCGGGAGCGACGCUACGAGCGAGAUCAGGUGCGUGGCUCGCACACCCGGAAACAAUUUACAUUUCUCCUUACGCUGCAUAAAAGGGGAGAAGGAAGAGAGAUCGGGGCAAAAGGAGUUGGAGAGCCUGCAACGACGGAUGAAGAGCGGCAGCAGCGGAAGCAAGGAGCAGACAAGAACGACGACGGCAGCUGAAAAGCGAUCCAACCCGGCAAGAGAAAGCUUAUUGCAAAAUAAA